GCCCAGCCCCCGUCGAGGGCCUGCUCCCCGCCCGGUCACUCGUCCGUGCCGCGCUGCCAGAGUGGGGCAUGCCCGUGUCAUCGCCGGCCGGGGCUCGGGCCGAGUGCCCAGUGCCCGAAAGGAGGACUUUCCAGGAAGAAGGGCCGCGCUCAGGUCCUCUGGCUCCUACAGGGUGAUCUCAGACUCCUGGCCUUGCUGGACCCAGUGACCCUCGCUGUCCCAGCCUCCAGAGUCCUGGGACUACAGGUGUUUGACAACACACGUUCUCCUGUGCACUUCAGCUCUUGAGGACUUGUAGCACCUACUGCAAGGUCUAACUUCAAACUCGUGGCUGUCAAUUCAAAAGUCUGUGUUAUUGGAGGGCAGGCCAUGUCCAGCGUUGAGCACUACAGUCCAGAGCAGAUGCCUGGAGUUUCAUGACACCCUUACCAAGCCCUCUGGCUGAGGUCUUGCGUGUGAAUGUAAGAGGAAGAUUUACAUCAUUGGAGGUCACACCGCCAGAGCAUUCAGGCCAAGACUAAGGCUCUGGAGCUGUCCAUGUUUCACAGGAGGUGCAAGAAUUAAUACAGAGGUCUUCCUUCUUGAUUGAGCUGAGGACCAAACCCAGGGCAUGGCCCAUGCUAGGCAAGCUCUCUGGCACUAAGCUUUAUCUCCUUUGAGACAAAGCCUCCCUAAGUUGCCCACGCUAUCCUUGAAUUUAUGCUUGGCACUUCGGUUAGCUUUUGAACUGAAGCGACGGCCGCAGUUGCUCAUGUGACCUGGAAGGAGGGGAGAAGUUCCGCAGAGUGAAUUGGCCUCUACCGGUUCUGAAUUUAGGUCCGAUGUUCGCCUUGCCCUGGUCAAAGCUCAAGUAGUUCUCCCGCCAGCACCGGUUCCGUUGAGUCAAAGCUCCUGCCAGUCGGUCGCAGGCCCGUGCACCUCAGAGCACGUGCAGGGUCCGUUCAGCUGUCCCGGCACUUAAACAACAGCAGCAGUAAAGCGCUGGCCGCUCCCGUGGGCAUUCCCUGUUGACUGAAGAGUGUGUCUGCCAUCUCAUAGUGCCCGGGUCACUGGCAUUCCAUCGUCACUCAUCAGUGGGUACAGUGGGCAGAACUCUGAGGAAAGCAAGCAAUGCCUGGGGCAGGUGCUCUUGGAGUGCCCCCAGCAGCCAUCACCACCGUGGGGUGCAGGGAAGCUGACCCCAACAGAGUCCUUCAGGGUUUUCUUCCAGCUCUGCCUCUUACAGUGAACCUGGGGCUACUAUAAAGAGUCCUGCUGCGCAGCUUCUCAGGGACUUAAAAGUCAAAGGAGUAAGCCUUUAGUGUGGAUAUGGUGACAGAUCUCUGUACCUUGUCACCCAGUCUGUCAGUAGUUGUUAUUCAGUCAGUAAUCUGCUUCUAACACUGUUUAAAGAUUUUUUGUUAAUAACAGGAACAUAUCUUGAUUUUAGUAAUAUUGGUCAUUUUUAACUCAAAUGGGUAUAAAAUGUGAUAUCUAUGAUUUAUAUCUCAACUGUACCAAAAAUAAAAUAUUUAAUGCAA